UUUCCGCAGGUGAACCUGCGGAAGGAUCAUUAAUGAGUUGUCAUGGGGUUCGAUGCUGGCAGCCAGUUUUUGGAUGCAUGUGCUUGCCCUAACAAUCAUCUUCUUCCAAACACCUGCGCACAUUUUUGAGGGAGUCUUGAGUUGGUUGCCGCUCUUGGGUGAUUUUCUCACAUUCCCUUAAAUCAUUAUACGCUAUUAACAAUGUUGAACGUGCUCUGUGCCGCAAGGCCAUUAAUAUAAUACAACUUUUAACAACGGAUCUCUUGGCUCUC
rnacentral:misc_RNA from 1 species